UACGUAGGGUGCAAGCGUUAAUCGGAAUUACUGGGCGUAAAGCGUGCGCAGGCGGUGAUGUAAGACAGUUGUGAAAUCCCCGGGCUCAACCUGGGAACUGCAUCUGUGACUGCAUCGCUGGAGUGCGGCAGAGGGGGAUGGAAUUCCGCGUGUAGCAGUGAAAUGCGUAGAUAUGCGGAGGAACACCGAUGGCGAAGGCAGGUCUCUGGGCUGACACUGACGCUCAUGCACGAAAGCGUGGGGAGCAAACAGG
rnacentral:rRNA from 1 species